rnacentral:misc_RNA from 1 species
UCCUGGUUAACCCAGGCAGUCUCGUUAGAGUUCCCAUCUUAAAUGUUGGCAACUAACGAUAAGGGUUGCGCUCGUUGCGGGACUUAACCCAACACCUCACGGCACGAGCUGACGACAGCCAUGCAGCACCUGUGCAGCGGCUCCGAAGAGAGGCGUCAUUUCUGACGCUGUCCACUGCAUGUCAAGCCUGGGUAAGGUUCUUCGCGUUGCAUCGAAUUAAACCACAUGCUCCACUGCUUGUGCGGGUCCCCGUCAAUUCUUUUGAGUUUCACCCUUGCGAGCGUACUCCUCAGGCGGUAUACUUAUCGCGUUAGCUACGACACAGUCGGGGUUGAGUCCAACUACAUCAAGUAUACAUCGUUUACGGCAAGGACUAC